GUAACCUCCCUCAAAUUGAGACAAGGGUCAAGAGAAGUAUUUAGUCAACAGAGGAGGCUGCUUCCAGUAAAAAUACUUUACAUAAUGUACAGAAAUACUAUGCGUUAAUGAGUACAGUAAUCGAUCAAGAAAGAAGCCAGAAGACUAAUGCUCAUGCUUGACACGAGCCUUUAGUAUUCCGGGGAGAGGAGGUGAGGUCGGAAGCCUGCCAGAUGAGUUUGGGGCAGAUGGAUUAGGGAUAUGAUGCUGAAACAUGUUGGCCAUACUGGAACUCGGACCUUCACCUCCAUCAGCAGAUACAUUCUGUGGGACAGAACCGUCAUUUGAUCUUCCGCAAAAAUUCAUUGCUUUGAGGAUAUAAUUAUCGUCAUGCAGCUCAAACGGAGUGCUGUUGAAGUCGAAAUGCACCAGCUGCAU
rnacentral:misc_RNA from 1 species